GUCGUACUCCCUCCGUUCGGAAUUACUUGUCUCAGAAAUGGAUGUAUCUAGAACUAAAAUACAUUUAAAUACAUUCAUUUCUACGACAAGUAAUUCCGAAUGGAGAGAGUAGAUU
rnacentral:pre_miRNA from 1 species